rnacentral:rRNA from 1 species
UACGUAGGUGGCAAGCGUUUUCCGGAUUUACUGGGCGUAAAGAGCGCGCAGGCGGUCGUUCAAGUCGCGUGUGAAAGCCCCCGGCUCAACUGGGGAGGGUCACGCGAUACUGAUCGACUCGAAGGCAGGAGAGGGUAGUGGAAUUCCCGGUGUAGUGGUGAAAUGCGUAGAUAUCAGGAGGAACACCUGUGGUGUAGACAGCUUACUGGACGGUGACUGACGCUGAGGCACGAAAGCGUGGGUAGCAAACAGG